AGGUAUGUCUGGGAAUGCUGUAGUUUUAGAUCAAAGUAUAAUUUUUAGGUAAAAUUAUUUUAAAAUAAAAUAAUUUUUUAUUUGACUAUCAAUAUCUUAAAAUUAUUAUAAAAUUAUAAAAAUAAUUUACUGUAUGUUUGGUUAACAAACACAAAAAUUAUUUUUGAAUAAUAAAAUAAUCAAAAAGAAUAAAUAUCUUAAAUGAUUCUUAAAUUGUUUGGAUCUAAAAUUUUUUGUUGUCAUUAGAUGGGGAUG
rnacentral:lncRNA from 1 species